rnacentral:rRNA from 1 species
CCUACGGGCGGCUGCAGUCGAGAAUCAUUCACAAUGGGGGAAACCCUGAUGGUGCGACGCCGCGUGGGGGCAUGAAGGUCUUCGGAUUGUAAACCCCUGUCAUGUGGGAGCAAAUUAAAAAGAUAGUACCACAAGAGGAAGAGACGGCUAACUCUGUGCCAGCAGCCGCGGUAAUACAGAGGUCUCAAGCGUUGUUCGGAAUCACUGGGCGUAAGGCGUGCGUAGGCUGUUUCGUAAGUCGUGUGUGAAAGGCGCGGGCUCAACCCGCGGACGGCACAUGAUACUGGGAGACUAGAGUAAUGGAGGGGGAACCGGAAUUCUCGGUGUAGCAGUGAAAUGCGUAGAUAUCGAGAGGAACACUCGUGGCGAAGGCGGGUUCCUGGACAUUAACUGACGCUGAGGCACGAAGGCCAGGGGAGCGAAAGGGAUUAGAUACCCUUGUAGUC